CCUACGGGAGGCAGCAGUGGGGAAUAUUGCACAAUGGGCGAAAGCCUGAUGCAGCAACGCCGCGUGAGCGAUGAAGGCCUUCGGGUCGUAAAGCCCUGUCCUCAAAGAAGAUAAUGACGGUACUUGAGGAGGAAGCACCGGCUAACUCCGUGCCAGCAGCCGCGGUAAUACGUAGGGGGCUAGCGUUAUCCGGAAUUACUGGGCGUAAAGGGUGCGUAGGUGGAUUCUUAAGUCAGAGGUGAAAGGCUACGGCUAAACCGUAGUAAGCCUUUGAAACUGGGAUACUUGAGUGCAGGAGAGGAAAGUGGAAUUCUUGGUGUAGGGGUGAAAUGCGUAGAGAUUAAGAGGAACACUAGUUGCGAAGGCGACCCGCUAGAAUGUAACUGACGCUGAGGCGCGAAAGCGUGGGGAGCAAACAGGAUUAGAUACCCCAGUAGUC
rnacentral:rRNA from 1 species